UCUCCGUAGGUGAACCUGCGGAGGGAUCAUUACAGAGUUCAUGCCCUAACGGGUAGAUCUCCCACCCUAUGUUAUCAUCACUUUGUUGCUUUGGCGGGCCGUCAGGCCUCGGCUUGGCUACCGGCUCUCGCUGGUAAGCGCCCGCCAGAGAACCCCAAACCCUGAAUAUCAGUGUCGUCCGAGUACUAUAUAAUAGUUAAAACUUUCAACAACGGAUCUCUUGGUUCUG
rnacentral:misc_RNA from 1 species